UCUACAACGUCCUUUGCCGUAAAAACUGGACGACCCUCUUCAUUAGGUGUGGUUAACAUAGCCGUCACAAUACCACCUGUGCUUGUCCCAGCAAUCACAUCAAAAUAGUCUGCAAGUCUUGCAUUCUCACCAUCUAACUUCUGUUGUAUUUUAAGAUCUACAAAUGAUUUAGUUUCUAGAAAAUUAAGGAUCACACCCGGAAUGAUUCCUCGUACUCCACCUCCGUCGAUGCUGAGUACAGUGAUUAGAUUCCCAUAUGUUGGUGGUUGCAAAGGUGACCGCGGUCCUUCCAUAUAUGACAUCGUGGAUUCAAUCUAAUGGUCGAGUUACUAGCUAGAUUUUG
rnacentral:lncRNA from 1 species